CAGUAGCCGCGGUAAUACGUAGGUGGCAAGCGUUGUCCGGAAUUAUUGGGCGUAAAGGGCUCGCAGGCGGUUUCUUAAGUCUGAUGUGAAAGCCCCCGGCUCAACCGGGGAGGGUCAUUGGAAACUGGGAAACUUGAGUGCAGAAGAGGAGAGUGGAAUUCCACGUGUAGCGGUGAAAUGCGUAGAGAUGUGGAGGAACACCAGCGGCGAAGGCGACUCUCUGGUCUGUAACUGACGCUGAGGAGCGAAAGCGUGGGGAGCGAACAGGAUUAGAUACCCCGGUAGUCCCUGUCUCUUAUAC
rnacentral:rRNA from 1 species